GAUGAACGCUGGCGGCGUGCCUAAUACAUGCAAGUCGAGCGAACGGACGAGAAGCUUGCUUCUCUGAUGUUAGCGGCGGACGGGUGAGUAACACGUGGAUAACCUACCUAUAAGACUGGGAUAACUUCGGGAAGCCGGAGCUAAUACCGGAUAAUAUUUUGAACCGCAUGGUUCAAAAGUGAAAGACGGUCUUGCUGUCACUUAUAGAUGGAUCCGCGCUGCGUUAGCUAGUUGGUAAGGUAACGGCUUACCAAGGCAACGAUGCAUAGCCGACCUGAGAGGGUGAUCGGCCACACUGGAACUGAGACACGGUCCAGACUCCUACGGGAGGCAGCAGUAGGGAAUCUUCCGCAAUGGGCGAAAGCCUGACGGAGCAACGCCGCGUGAGUGAUGAAGGUCUUCGGAUCGUAAAACUCUGUUAUUAGGGAAGAACAUAUGUGUAAGUAACUGUGCACAUCUUGACGGUACCUAAUCAGAAAGCCACGGCUAACUACGUG
rnacentral:rRNA from 1 species